AUUAUAUAUACUAGUGAAAGGACCCGCGCUUUGCAGCGGGUAGAAACCGUAACAGUAAUUAAUAAUAAAAAGAUUUUAAACAUUAUCUUAUGUAUCUCACUUGAUACAUUCACCAAAGGUCUCUCACUGUUGGCGGAGGAUAUAGGCCCGACGAUGCCUUCUCCGGCGAUAGUGAUAGUGACGGCGACGAUGAUCCCUCCGACCACGGCAAAAGAAAAAAGUGGGCGUGCAUUCAUGAGAGAGAAAGAGGGAGUAAGGGAAAGAAGCGAUGGUGUAUAGCAAAAGAUGAGAGAUAGAGAAUUGAUGAAUAAAUUGAAAAUAAAGAAUUGAAAGUUCGAUGGAGAAAAAGAAAAAUGCUCAUAAUUAAUAAUUAGAGAAGAGAUGUUAGGAUUGUAGAUGGUAAUGGAACCAUUUAAAUAUACUAAAUGAAAGUUUGGUAGUGGAACCGUUUGCACUAAUUGAAAAUAUAGUGGAGGAAAGGAAAAUGGUCAUAAUGAAUUAUUGUAGAUAGAAACAAUACAAUUGUAAAUGGUAGUGCGACCAUUAAAUACACUAAUUGAUGGUUUGAUUAGUGGGAUCGUUAAAAUGUAUAUUGAAAAUUUGGUGAAGAGAAGAAAAAGAGUUACAUGCUAGUGAAAGUGAAGUAAAAUUUGCCACGUGGCAACAAACAUUN
rnacentral:lncRNA from 1 species